CAGUCGCCACGGUAAAACGGAGGGUGCAAGCGUUAAUCGGAAUUACUGGGCGUAAAGCGCACGCAGGCGGUCUGUCAAGUCAGAUGUGAAAUCCCCGGGCUUAACCUGGGAACUGCAUUUGAAACUGGCAAGCUAGAGUCUUGUAGAGGGGGGUAGAAUUCCAGGUGUAGCGGUGAAAUGCGUAGAGAUCUGGAGGAAUACCGGUGGCGAAGGCGGCCCCCUGGACAAAGACUGACGCUCAGGUGCGAAAGCGUGGGGAGCAAACAGGAUUAGAUACCCCUGUAGUCCCUGUCUCUUAUAC
rnacentral:rRNA from 1 species